AAAGUCGAGAUAUAAUCACUUGCUUCCAUAAAUAAAACCAAUGCAGAUUGACUUUGACAGCUUACAAAACAUUUAAUAAACCAAAUUUAGUUAAAAUAAUGAGGUUUUUCUUGACAGAAUUUCUUUGUAACUGAUCCAUUUUCUUAAUCCGAAUGUUUUACAACACAAGUCCAUCUAUGUGAUUACAGUCUUCCAGCUAGCAGACCAGAAAGGUCAGUCACACUGGAAGAAGUUAAAACGGUGAUCUCGCCUCAUUUGAACCCUGUCAAAGUGGAAUUUUCAAGGACUCGAUGCGGUCGAGAUCUUCUGCUCCCCCAUGUUUUAAAUAGGGUUAGGGUCCUAGGACUGCGGUCUCCUGGACAAAGAUCCUGGAAUCUGCUGGAGCCACUCUCCCAGUUUGGACGUUACUGCCCUGAGAGCUGUUACCACUGUUGCUUUCAGUUUCCACAUCUUCCCAUCUCUUCUCUAGCUCGUCCUUCAUCCCUUGGUAUUUCUUCUCAUGUCACCAUUUCCAGAUGUUGCUGUCACUCGGUAUACUGUAGCUACAUUCAUCAUUACGGUCGUCUUUCUCUUCUUGUCCACCACCACUAUAUCUAGCUAUCACCAGUUUGUCCAUCUGUAUCUGGAAGUUUGGUCAUUUUCAACCACCUUUAGGGUGUUUCAACACGCCAACUUAGCACAGUCUCAGCCACAGAGACUUUUUUUCCUUUGAAGAUGAGAUGACUGACACUUCUGCUACUGGUAAAAGAUAAUAUUAUUUGAUACUGAUAAAGAAAAUUUCACUAAGAUACAGCGCAGCCACGCUUUCCAGUGCCUCGGCAGAGAGACUGUUUAGCCUUGGGAAGCUUGUCUUCUCUCCAAAGUGGAACAGGCUCUCUGAUGAGAAGUUUGAGAAGCUCAUUGUUUUGAGACAUAACCACUGGUUUAAUGAAUAGCUGUAAAGGGUUGGGGAUGUGACAAAUAAGAAUUCUUUAUAUUAAAAAAAAUAGAGGACAUUAAAACAGGUCACUUUAACAGACAUCUACUGUGAGAACAACACUUGUGUGACUUGUGUUGGACUGCCAAUGGCAAACGACAGCCAUGGAGUUUACAUUUGUAUUACCUGUUUACAUUUUUAUACCUUGGUUAUGUUAUACAGUGCACGUACUUUCUCAGUAUUACAUUGAAAUCACUUCAGCUAUUUUACUUUUGUGUGGAAGAAAAUCCUUGUUCAGCCACUGAUGUCUGAAGCUGUGACAGUUUACAUUGCUUAAAAGCAUAAUUUAAUUUAACAACCAUUGAUAGCCAGUUG
ensembl:lncRNA